rnacentral:tRNA from 1 species
UGAUUCCGUAGCUCAGCUGGGAGAGCGCCACCUUGACAGGGUGGAGGUCGUGGGUUCGAGCCCCUCCGGAAUCAU